GGAAUUUAAUAUGUAUUUUAUUAGAUUCGCACGAAAAAUGGCAUUUAUACUUGUCAAAUUAACAAGAUCCGUACGACCUUUGUCUUAACAAGCUGGCUUCUUCGCCAUCAAUCUGAAGUGCAAGUCUAUGAUCCUGCUAUUACUUAAUCAUGUCUAAAACAUUUCCUUUCUAACUAUGCUUCUAAUUGAUACUCUGUUGGGCACCCUUCAAUGCCAAUAAUGCAGCUCCAAAGGCAGCUUCUGUUUGCAUUGCCCGACUUACAGGCAAGCCGAGUACCCUCUCUCGUAUCAUUAUCCAUUUCUCAUUUUUUGCACCACCUCCUGCUGUAAACACUUCUUCAGCCUGGGUUGCUCCCAUAUCUUUCAACAAGCUAUAAGCCUUUGCCUGAAAAUUACAGAUGCUAAUGUCAUAACUUGGAUUGGUGUGAGAAAUGUUGGAACAUCGAGGGCAAAUCUCAAUACCUCUAUACGUGCAAUGGAUUCUAAAAUACCAUGCAAAUAUUCAACAUCACUUUCUGGGCGUGGAUGUAACCUGCAUUGAGAAUGAAACAAUAUCAUGAUAUCAAACAAACUACAGUUUCUUUUUGAUGGCUUGCUUGUGUGCCUUUGUCAACUUGCUAAAAUGGAUAUGCUUGAUUGCCGAGCCUAAUUGAAACAGAACAAACCCUGGAAUUUUCUCAUCUCAUUAUGAACCUGAUUCUUCAAAUGUUACAUACAGAAUGUAUAAGAACAUAGCAAACAUAUAUGCAGGAGCAGAAUGCAGGAUGCUCAGUCAGAGAAAGCUGUUGGUUUUGCAGAAACUUCACAUAAUAGUGAAACUUCCAGUCUUAUCUUUCAUUAUAUUGAUCUCUAAUUGCCUCAAAAUGGUGGAACUUAAUUAACCUUAGAACAAAUUGACUUUGGAAGAAAACAGACAUCUAGAUGUCUAUGCUCAAAAUACAAAAUCUGCAUUAAACAUUCCUCAACCGUGUCACCAGAGUGUAGGACAUCAAAUGACAACAGAAAAUUCCCUUCUCUGGAUUACAAAUGACCCAGCACCAAGUUUAUAUCCUUGUAGAUAUUUUAAGGCCUCUCAAAUUGUCUUGUGAUUAUGCAUAUAUAAUAUCAUGAACUAGCUGCAACAUGACUGGCUUGGCUUCCAAAAAUUCAAGAAUUUAGUUUAAAAGCAUUGUGCUCUAUCCUUGGAGGAUUUCCUGAAAAGUAUCAUAUUAUCAACACUUCUGUAUGCAAAUCAGUACAGAUACUUGCACUUGUGCAGAAGAGAAAAAUCUGGCUUUGAGAUCAAACAAGGCUUUUGAUAUCACUUCGUAACUCCACAUAAGAUCACAGAAAGAAUUAAAUACCUAGGUGCCAGAUUUGGAUCUGCCACAGGAAAUCUCUCACCAACUGCUUUUAGAGGAUAGUAUUCUAGAGGAGAAGCUUCCGUGGGAUUUAUCUGUUCACUCAAUUUAUCCAAUUGUUCGUCCGUAAAAAGUUCUCUAAGAACAGCUCCGCCAGUAUUUGAAGCACCUCCAACAAGCCACUUAUCAUCAAGGCGAUGACUAUAAACCCCAAAUCGUGCAUCCUCAAUCCUCUUUGUGCUCAGUAGUUUAAUAGCAAGUGUGGAACCCAAAGAAGUGACCUAGAUACAAGAAUUGUUGAUAAAUUUUGCUAAAAAAAUAAAAUAAGAAAAGAGUACUGUGCUUUACUGGACUUGUUAGAGUUCAAGUUCAAUUGGAAUUAGAAAGUAUAAUUUAUUUAGGAAGUAUAAUUAGUUUAGAAAGUUUAGUAGAAUUUAAAUUGUGAAGUUUAAUAAUUAAAGUCCUAAAAAGACUAGGUUUUAGUAGCCUAUAUAUAUGAAUAGUUGGUUCACCAUUAUAUGAAACGUAUUGCAGA
rnacentral:misc_RNA from 1 species